AGUGAAUAGAUACCCGGGUAGUCCACGCGGUAAACGAUGAAUACUGGGUGUAGGCGGGGUUAGAGCCGUCUGUGCCGAAAGCCAAACGCGUUAAGUAUUCCGCCUGGGGAGUACGGCCGCAAGGCUAAAACUCAAAGGAAUUGACGGGGGUCCCGCACAAGCAGCGGAGCGUGUGGUUUAAUUCGAUGCAACACGAAGAACCUUACCUGGGCUUGACAUGGCCGUAGUAGUGAAGGGAAACCGGAACGACCCUUCGGGGUAGCGGUCACAGGUGCUGCAUGGCUGUCGUCAGCUCGUGUCGUGAGAUGUUGGGUUAAGUCCCGCAACGAGCGCAACCCUUGUCGCCAGUUAUACGUGUCUGGCGAGACUG
rnacentral:rRNA from 1 species